rnacentral:sRNA from 1 species
GGUUCAAUCCCCGGCAACGGCGCCAAAUUGAUAGUAGGGUUUUGUGUGUCAAUUCCCUAAAUGCAUCUUCUGUCAUUGCAACAUUUAAGGUGUCAAUCCAAAUGGGUGUAAUUGCUAUCAAUCAGGAUAUGAUUUGAGAAUACUAAGUCAAGCAAAGUCUAGAUGAUUU